rnacentral:rRNA from 1 species
AGGAUGAACGCUGGCGGUCUGCUUAACACAUGCAAGUCGAACGGAGUACCUCGGUACUUAGUGGCGGACGGGUGAGUAACGCGUGAGAAUCUGCCCUUAGGUCGGGGACAACCAUUGGAAACGAUGGCUAAUACCGGAUAAGCCGAGAGGUAAAAGAUUAAUUGCCUAGGGAAGAGCUCGCGUCUGAUUAGCUAGUUGGUGAGGUAAAGGCUCACCAAGGCAUCGAUCAGUAGCUGGUCUGAGAGGAUGAUCAGCCACACUGGGACUGAGACACGGCCCAGACUCCUACGGGAGGCAGCAGUGGGGAAUUUUCCGCAAUGGGCGAAAGCCUGACGGAGCAAGACCGCGUGAGGGAGGAAGGCUCUUGGGUUGUAAACCUCUUUUCUUGGGGAAGAACAAAUGACGGUACCAAGGAAUCAGCAUCGGCUAACUCCGUGCCAGCAGCCGC